rnacentral:rRNA from 1 species
CCUACGGGCUGCAGCAGUGAGGAAUAUUGGUCAAUGGACGAGAGUCUGAACCAGCCAAGUAGCGUGAAGGAUGACUGCCCUAUGGGUUGUAAACUUCUUUUAUAUGGGAAUAAAAUGUUCCACGUGUGGGAUUUUGUAUGUACCAUAUGAAUAAGGAUCGGCUAACUCCGUGCCAGCAGCCGCGGUAAUACGGAGGAUCCGAGCGUUAUCCGGAUUUAUUGGGUUUAAAGGGAGCGUAGGUGGAUUGUUAAGUCAGUUGUGAAAGUUUGCGGCUCAACCGUAAAAUUGCAGUUGAAACUGGCAGUCUUGAGUACAGUAGAGGUGGGCGGAAUUCGUGGUGUAGCGGUGAAAUGCUUAGAUAUCACGAAGAACUCCGAUUGCGAAGGCAGUUCACUGGACUGCAACUGACACUGAGGCUCGAAAGUGUGGGUAUCAAACAGGAUUAGAUACCCCAGUAGUC